rnacentral:SRP_RNA from 1 species
ACCGGACGCGGUGGCGCAUGCCUGUAGUCCCAGCUACUCGGGAGGCUGAGGUGGGAGGAUCGCUGAGCCCAGGAAUUCCGGGCUGUGGUGCGCUACACCGAUCAGGUAUCCGCACUAAGUUCGGCAUCAAUAUGGUGACCUCCCGGGAGCAGGGGCCCACCCGUUUGCCUAAGGAGGGGUGAACUGGCCCAGGUCAGAAAUGGAGCAGGUCAAAACUCCCGUGCUGAUCAGUAGUGGGACUGUGCCUGUGAAUAGCCACUACACUCCAGCCUGGGCAACACAGCGAGACCCCGUCUCU